rnacentral:rRNA from 1 species
AGUGGCGGACGGGUGAGUAACGCGUGAGAAUCUGCCUUGGGGUCGGGGACAACCACUGGAAAUGGUGGCUAAUACCGGAUAAGUCGAUUGGUGAAAGAUUUAUUGCCCGAAGAGGAGCUCGCGUCUGAUUAGCUAGUUGGUGAGGUAAGAGCUCACCAAGGCAGCGAUCAGUAGCUGGUCUGAGAGGACGAUCAGCCACACUGGGACUGAGACACGGCCCAGACUCCUACGGGAGGCAGCAGUGGGGAAUUUUCCGCAAUGGGCGAAAGCCUGACGGAGCAAGACCGCGUGAGGGAGUAAGGCUCUUGGGUUGUAAACCUCUUUUCUCAGGGAAGAAGCUCUGACGGUACCUGAGGAAUCAGCCUCGGCUAACUCCGUGCCAGCAGCCGCGGUAAUACGGAGGAGGCAAGCGUUAUCCGGAAUUAUUGGGCGUAAAGCGUCCGCAGGUGGCGAUUCAAGUCUGCUGUCAAAGCACGGGGCUUAACUCCGUAAAGGCAGUGGAAACUGAAUAGCUAGAGUGCCGUAGGGGUAGAGGGAAUUCCCGGUGUAGCGGUGAAAUGCGUAGAGAUCGGGAAGAACAUCGGUGGCGAAAGCGCUCUACUGGACGGCAACUGACACUCAGGGACGAAAGCUAGGGGAGCGAAUGGGAUUAGAUACCCC